GACGAACGCUGGCGGCGUGCUUAACACAUGCAAGUCGAACGGUAAGGCCCUUCGGGGUACACGAGUGGCGAACGGGUGAGUAACACGUGGGUGAUCUGCCCUGCACUUCGGGAUAAGCCUGGGAAACUGGGUCUAAUACCGGAUAGGACCACUGCCUGCAUGGGUGGUGGUGGAAAGCUUUUGCGGUGUGGGAUGGGCCCGCGGCAUAUCAGCUUGUUGGUGGGGUGAUGGUCUACCAAGGCGACGGCGGGUAGCCGGCCUGAGAGGGUGACCGGCCACACUGGGACUGAGAUACUGCCCAGACUCCUACGGGAGGCAGCAGUGGGGAAUAUUGCACAGUGGGCGCAAGCCUGAUGCAGCGACGCCGCGUGAGGGAUGACGGCCUUCGGGUUGUAAACCUCUUUCAGCACCGACGAAGCGCAAGUGACGGUAGGUGCAGAAGAAGGACCGGCCAACUACGUGCCAGCAGCCGCGGUAA
rnacentral:rRNA from 1 species